UAUCCAGAGUUUCCAAGCACAAUUUUUGUAGGGUGUUUUCUGCAGCUGUGACCCAUGCAUACACACCCUAGCCUCCAGCACAGCAUUGACCACCCAGCUAAUCUCAUUCAGCAUUUUCCUUGGCAACAUUGAGGCAGCAUUUGAGAAGAAUUAACCUUCAACUCACCAACCUGCUCUUAGGCAUUUUCUUCAAGGAUGCUAUCCACAGAUGCCAAAUGUCGAAGUUGUACUACCACAAGCUAGACAAGAUUUUGAUUCCGACUAACCCAUUCUUUAAAGGUCCAUUGCCUUAGGAAAUUAAAACUUUUAUGUCUUGUAUCAAGACCCUUUUAAAGCAACAUAAUAACAAUUGUUUCAUAAAUAAAUGCCUCCUUAUAUUUUUUACAAUUUUUUGAAAACCUCUCCAAGUUGCUCGUCUAAUGGUGGACCCCGCCCUUAAAAUUCUCAGAGUUCCUCGGAAUGAUUGACCAAAGGAUUAGUGAUGUUAUAUCAAGAACGAUCUCCGCUUAGGCAAGCUACGGUGCUUGCUAGCCAGCUCUGCAGGCAUUAUGUUUUGUACACAAACAUAAACAAUUACUUUUGUUAUUAAAUAGUGUGUUAUGCAUCUUUACUUGUUAUUUAUUGUGGUGAAAUUUCACUAAUGGCCCAAUUUUAAAAAGAGAGCUAUACCAUGAGUCGAAGAAGAUCGUAAUUGAUUUGAAUGCCUGUAUAACGUGUCAACUAAAUGCAUGCUAUAAAGAAUUUCAAAGGUAAGAAAAAAAUGUUUCAUAUAUCUAAGUGACUGAAUGUUUUUCGUACUACCUUCUUCUCAAUUUAAAGAAAUAUUGAAAGUGGUAUAUCAGAGUGAAGAAACUUGUGUUUUUCCCUUUACAAGCUCUGCUCUUUCUUACUUCACUUUCAAAUUUCCUCUCUUGUUAUAUAAACAUUUAGCGAUUGCUUUACUUCACACAUUCAAGCAAUGUAUACUAUCCCUCC